UACGGAGGGUGCAAGCGUUGUCCGGAUUCAUUGGGAUUAAAGGGUGCGCAGGCGGGUCAUUAAGUCAGGGGUGAAAGACGGUUGCUCAACAAUCGCAGUGCCUUUGAUACUGGUGUUCUUGGGUAACCUUGAGGUAGGCGGAAUGGGUGGUGUAGCGGUGAAAUGCAUAGAUACCACCCAGAACUCCGAUUGCGAAGGCAGCCUACUGGAGGUCAACCGACGCUCAGGCACGAAAGCGUGGGGAUCAAACAGG
rnacentral:rRNA from 1 species